GGUCCGCAGUCCUUUGUAAGGUGAGAGAGCGUUCUCCUCCUCCUCCGCAGCCCCUCUAUCAUCGUCUCCCACAAAUCGCCGCCACCGACCAACUCCUAACUCCCACACCUCGGCGCCGGCCCUCCCCUUCCCCUCCUCUUACCUCGCAGCUUCGGCAGCUGUCGGAUCCGCCGAAUCCCCCACCGAUCCAUCCCUCUAGCAGCACAUCUCUCCCUCUCUCAUGUGACCCCUCGUGUCGCGGCCAACGCCGGCCAAUUCCGCCAACGUCCACCACUACGCAACAGACUCAUGAGCUGCUCUCCGACCCCUCCGUCUGCCAAGAUGGCUGGAUCCGCCGCUCCCGGUCACCGGUGCUCGCCCCGCAACACCUCGCCUGUGGCUGGGGUUACAGCCAUGGGGUCGCGUACAUCACGGGCGUGUCUCCGGUGGUGACUCUCCGUCGGAAAAAGUGCCCCCUCACGCCCUCUCCACCUCUUGGAUGGCGCUCCCUAGCUCGGCGCGCUCGCAUGCGUUGGACUGGACGCCGGCGAUGCGUCCUCCUCUGUCACGUCUCCGGCGCAGCUAUGCACAUGUGGCGACCUCCUCUGCCUCGCGAAGCCGGUGGCCAACCUUCGCUGCGAGCGCUGCAUCGCCUACAAACCGAGCAGAACAUGGGUGUUCUGGAGCAGAUGCUACUUGGUAGAGCAAGCACAGGCGCCAUGAAAGGGGAAGAAUAAGAGUUCUUGCACAUAACAUGUUUGAUGAAAUACAGGCACCACAAAUUGAACUCAUCUCCAAGCUAUGCUUUAUGAGAGGCUACAGAUUGUUACAUUAUUUUGUCCAGUCCAUGAUGCAAGAUUCAUUCAUUUGUGAUUGUUGCAAUAACAAUUAUUGGCCAAAAGCAUGGUUGUGUGUGGUUCCUGCUGCUGUACUGUGGUAUUGGUUUUCUUCCGCCUGCCUGAUGUGGUGAUGCUUUGGUGUGCCUAUUGUUCGCAGAGAUUAACCAAUAUUUGGGAGAUGUGGUGGCUCACCCGAUCGGAAACAGAACAAGAUGAAGGAGCUUAAGUAUAGCCACAUCAGGGUGACCUGGGAGGAAGGAAGUUUACGUGUGAUAGGAGAUGAUCGCCAUAAUCUGGGUGCUAAAGGCCUUUGGAAACAGAACAAGAUGAAGGAGCUUAAGUACAGCCACAUCAGGGCGACCUGGGAGCAAGGAAUUUUACCUGUGAUAGGAGAUGAUCGCCAUAAUCUGGGUGCCAAAGGCCCAGGGGAUUAUAACAUGGUUUUUUUAUAGAAAGUGCCAAAAACUCCAGCAGGCCGCAGGACUACUACGCCGCUGGUGCCUAUCAACGUCGCUGCCGAUGCCCUGCAUCCGAUUGGCUGCCAAGGAAUCCACCAACACGUCCCAAUACACGUCUGUAUCCCACAUCAUGAGCUCCUCGAAGGUGAGCAGCUGGCCCAGCCUCGCCAUGUAGCACACGGUCUUGGUAGUGGAGAUGUUGUCAUUGUCAUUGCAGUCGAAGGUGUGGAGCAUAGGGCGUGAGCACCGGCAUGAUGGUGUGCGCCAGCUCGUCGAACUCGGAGGCCCGCUGACAUUUGCAUCGAUGGCCAGCAGCAGAAGGACUCCUCACCCGACGGUCGCAAGCUUAGGGGGUGGAGCGGGGCAUCGAGCUUGAGAUCUCUUGGCACUUGUCACGUCAUCACUGACUCAGACCAGAAGAGUUCUGUUGUGUUCGGUGUCACGCCCUCCACAGCCUGCGAUGGUGAUCACGAUGCCCCUGCGGAACGACGCGCUGAUACGUCUCCGUCGUAUCUAUAAUUUUUGAUUGUUCCAUGCCAAUAUUCUACAACUUUCAUAUACUUUUUGGCAACUUUUUAUAUUAUUUUUGGGACUAACAUAUUGAUCCAGUGUCCAGUGCCAGUUCCUGUCUGUUGCAUGUUUUUGAUUUCGCAGAAUAUCCAUAUCAAACGAAAUCCAAACGGGAUAAAAAUGGACGGAGAAUAUUUUGGAAUAUUUGGAGAAUUCUGAAAGAAAAAUCCAUGCGAGAUGGUGCCCGAGGUGGCCACGAGGCAGGGGGCGCGCCUGCCCCCUGGGCGCGCCCCUGACCCUCGUGGGCUACCCGUAAGGCGGUUGAUGCCCUUCUUCGACCGCAAGAAAGCUAAUUUUUGGUAAAAAAAUCACGGCGAAGGUUUCAGUCCAAUCCGAGUUACGGAUCUCCAUAUAUAUACGAAACGGUGAAAGGGCAGCAGAACAGAACGCUGAAACAGAGAGAGACAGAGAGACAGAUCCAAUUUCGGAGGGGCUCUCGCCCCUCCCAUGCCAUGGAGGCCAAGGACCAGAGGGGAAACCCUUCUCCCAUCUAGGGAGGAGGUCAAGGAAGAAGAGGAAGAAGGGGGCCCCUCUCCCCCUCUCCUCCGGUGACGCCGGAACGCUGCCGUGGCCACCAUCAUCAUCACCGCAAUCUUCACCAACACCUCCGCCAUCUUCACCAAUAUCUCCAUCACCUUCCCCCCUCUAUCUACAGCGGUCCACUCUCCCGCAACCCGUUGUACCCUCUACUUGAACAUGGUGCUUUAUGCUUCAUAUUAUUAUCCAAUGAUGUGUUG
rnacentral:rRNA from 1 species